ensembl:lncRNA
UCGGCACUGGUUUGGCACAAGACUUCCCGAGCAGGACAAGUAACCCACAAAAUGUAGCCACAGCAGCAGCAGCAGCAGCAGAUCCUUCCCCGGAUGAUGGUCUUAAAAUGGUUUUACCACAAGAAACUUCCCCUACACGGAAUAUACCUGUUGUUUUCCCCUGAGGCCUCACACUGCCACUCUGAGGAAUAAAAUGAUAGAUCCAGAGGGUUUACCACAGAUCAUGGGGAGACAAUACAGGUGAGAUACUGAAAAAAAAAUGCUUGAAAAAUGACAUUUGUUAGUAAACUGUUUUGGGUUCUGCGCUCAUGUGGAUGUUUAAUGCCUGUUAAAGCAAAGAUCUUUAAAUAAAACAAGUUCCUUUUUUAGUGUAACCUGAAAUAAAAUGCUUGAAUGUCUAGUGGAAGAUUAAUUAUAGGUUGUCGGGGCGGCAGAGCAUCAGCUUUCUUGUGAAACGCUUCUUGCUUAUCUUUGAUUAACCUUUGGCAUAAAUCAGCCCGUCAGCGCUCCUCACAUUUCAUCAGUGAGACACAUGCUGCUGCGUCCAUCGUCACGUUUUCAUUCAUUCAUUCACACGUGACGAAUUAGUCUGGUCAACUUUUUAUAUGUAACCUAUUAAAAACUGCCUUAAUGUGACCCCGGGCCAAAAACUUUGUGUUUUCAAGGUUAAGCUUGUCAGAGUCGUUUCACUUUACUGAGUGGUUCCAUUUUUACAGUUUUACUCAACUUUGUUUCAUUUAAAACUUUAGAUGUGAGUAAUUUUCCACAUUUGGAUCAUUUGUUAAAAUAUUCAGUGUGAUAUGUUAUUAUAAAUUAAACAAAACUCUAUAAAAUCAAAAACAAGCUGCAACAUUACAGCCAAUAAAUAAUAUACAUGUGAUAUAUCUAAAACAUAUAUAUUAUAUAUUGAUUUAUUAUGGACUAAUCUAUAUGAUAAGCAUGUUUUUUUUUAACUUUAGGUGCUGAAACUUCUGUAAUUUUAAGAAAAGUUUCCAACACCACACUGUAAAAGUGACAGCUGAGCGCUGUUAUAAAUUUU